AUUGAACGCUGGCGGCAGGCCUAACACAUGCAAGUCGAGCGCGAAAGUCUUCGGAUGAGUAAAGCGGCGAACGGGUGAGUAAUGCAUGGGAAUCUGCCUGGUAGUGGGGGACAACGUCUCGAAAGGGACGCUAAUACCGCAUACGCCCUACGGGGAAGGGGGGAGUCUUCGGACCUCUCGCUAUCAGAUGAGCCCAUGUCAGAUUAGCUAGUUGGUAGGGUAAAGGCCUACCAAGGCGACGAUCUGUAACUGGUCUGAGAGGAUGGUCAGUCAC
rnacentral:rRNA from 1 species